GGGAGACCUGGCAUUGAUGGGAAGAGAGGCCUGCCAGCAAAAGAUGUGAGGAACAUUUCACCUAUUUUGUGUGACACCAACUGGAUUACUUUUAUGCCUAAUGUUUCAGCUAUUUUUACAUUAUUGCGAACAAAAAGACGUGUUGAAGUUGAAAAUGCAUUUUUCUUUUUACACAGGGAGAAAACGGACCAAAGGGAGACAUCGGGGAAAAGGUUAUUAAAAUGUAUUGCUAACAAAAAGAACAUUUAUCUCUUUUAUAAAUAUGACAUGAUCUUUCAAUGUGCCUCUCUUUUCAGGGGGACAAGGGAGAUCCAGGUGCCAAUGUGAGUGGUGUAUUGAUUCAAAACUAAAGUUAUCAGUGUGAGAAAACUAAGGUUGCACCUUUAGAGCAUCUUUCUUCCUUCACAGGGUAAAGACGGCGGUAAGGGGGAACCAGGACCUCCAGGUUCACCUGGUAUGCAGGUGCUUGUCACUCCAGAGGGCGCCACCAUUGACGAAAUCCGGCAAGCAUUUCCAAUCCCAAUGGGUCCUCCAGGAGCUACUGUGAGUAUAAUGCUUACACACGUGUCAUGUAUAUGAAUAACGGCACAUGAUUUUAGCUGUUGCAUGGCUUAAUUCAUGUUUGGCCUGCAUGACAUCCGAGUCAUAAUGCAGCGAUGACUGUAGUGCCUUUAUUGUGGGUUGGCAAGCUUGAUGUCAUGCAUUGUAGAUGCAUGUUCCAAUGUCUUGCUCCUCUGUUUCCGUGUGUUUAGGGUUCGCCAGGAAUGAAGGUAAGAUGGUGAUGGAGUUUAUUCUUACUUAUUUGUAAAAGAAAGACAGAAAUAUUAGCUCUGCAGCUCAUUUGUCCUUUUUUGCAGGGUGAUAGAGGAGAAACAGGCCUGAGAGGAGACAAGGUAGUGCUUCAGUGUUGUCCCUCAAAAAACAGAUGAAUAUGGAAAUGUAAAUUAUAUUUUCUUGAAUGCAUUUAUUAUAAUGUUCCUGCAGGGUGACGCUGGAGCUCCUGGAAGGUCUAUUGAGAUGAAGGACAUUGAAGUGAUGUUUGAAGCCUACGGCAUAAGGCUGCCGUUGCUGAAGGCUCUGAUUGACAGGCUGCUGCAGGAGGGACUAGAGGAGCUGCUUCAUGUACUCGACAUCUCCAAGAAAACAACAAAUGAAAAGAAAGACACUCAUACCUCCAACGUCAUCACUGAGUACACAAGUUCAGUGAACUUUGACCUCUCCGGACAGCAGUCGGACACCAUUGAGGACCCUGAUUUAGAGGACCCUUUGAAUGAAACUGCAGAGGGUCCUACGUUAUGGAACGUUACCACAAUGAACAGAGAGAGGAAGGUAAAGGGAUCCAGAGGGAAGGUGGUAGUGAAUGGGGACAAAGAUGGAGCAUCUUCUCUCAGAAUAAAUAUGACUGAAGUCAACUCUACGUUCAAUUAUACUACGACGCAGGAGCCGGUUUCAGGGUUACCAGAAACUGUGGUGGAGACUGUUGUCCUCACACAGGAGGACUCUCUGAAGAAGAACUCAGGACAAAAGAAGAAGAACAGGGAACGUGGGAAGGGCAAAGGAAAUAAAGGAAGACAUAAGAGGCAGAGACAACGCCUGACAAGUGGAGAGGACAAGCGAGACGAGGAGGAAGAAGAGGAGUUUUAUAACGGCGAAGAAUACAGUUACGAAUAUGAGGAAGAGCCUAACCUGGACAACACCUCGGGGUCUCAGGAGAGGAGACACAACAGACAGGUACAUUUGCGUCAAACAGCAUGCUGUCAUCUGCUUCAGCUGGGAAAUAUAAAAUAUGCUCCAUGUUUUUUAAUCAUAUGCAGCUGA
rnacentral:lncRNA from 1 species